CGCAAAACUAAGCGAGCUACUUCAAAACAGCCUUAUAGGGCCAACCCGUCUCUGUUGCAAAAGAGUGGGAAGAUUUUCAAGUAGAGGUGAUAAACCUACCGAGCUUAGAGAUAGCUGGUUAUUCAAGAAAAGGAUCUAAGUCCUACCUUAAAUCAAUACAAUAACAAUAAAUACAUUAAUAGAUUUAAGAGCUAUUCAAAUAAGGUACAGCCUAUUUGAAACAGGAUACAACCUAAACAACAGGGUAAUGAAAUCAAACACGUAACUAAGUGGGCCUAAGAGCAGCCAUCUUUUAAAAAGCGUUAAAGCUUAAUUACUUAUUUAUAUCAAUUCCACAAAUCAAUCAAAACCCUUAUCCAGUAUUGAAUGAUUCCAUAACCAUAUGGAAAACCGUAUGCUAGAACUAGUAAUAAGAAGAAGACCUUCUCCAAAAUACAAGUGUGAGCCGAAAUGAACAACUCAUCGGCACUUAACGUAAAUGAACCAAAAGUAGUAACAAAACAAGAAAAUUCUACUACACAAUACGUCAAUCUUACACUAGAGUAUUACCGGAAAGAUUAAAAGAAAGGGAAGGAACUCGGCAAAUCAUCAACCCCGCCUGUUUACCAAAAACAUCGCCUCUUGACAAAAUAUAAGAGGUCCAGCCUGCCCAGUGACAAAGUUAAACGGCCGCGGUACCCUAACCGUGCGAAGGUAGCGCAAUCACUUGUUCUUUAAAUGAGGACUAGUAUGAAUGGCAUCACGAGGGUUGCACUGUCUCCCCUUUUUAAUCAAUGAAACUGACCCCCCCGUGAAGAGGCGGGGAUAUAACUAUAAGACGAGAAGACCCCAUGGAGCUUUAAACUCAGUAUCAACCGCCUAACAACACAUCAUUACAAUUUGGCUGAUCUGAUUACUAGUUUUCGGUUGGGGUGACCGCGGAGUAAAACAAAACCUCCACGAUGAAAGGACCUAUACUCCUAAUCAUAGAGCCACAGCUCAAAGAAUCAAAAAACUGACAUAAAUUGAUCCAAUUAAUUUGAUCAACGAACCAAGUUACCCUGGGGAUAACAGCGCAAUCCACUUCAAGAGCCCCUAUCGACAAGUGGGUUUACGACCUCGAUGUUGGAUCAGGGUAUCCCAGUGGUGCAGCCGCUACUAAAGGU
rnacentral:rRNA from 1 species